GACGAACGCUGGCGGCGUGCUUAACACAUGCAAGUCGAACGGAAAGGCCCUGCUUUUGUGGGGUGCUCGAGUGGCGAACGGGUGAGUAACACGUGAGUAACCUGCCCUUGACUUUGGGAUAACUUCAGGAAACUGGGGCUAAUACCGGAUAGGAGCUCCUGCUGCAUGGUGGGGGUUGGAAAGUUUCGGCGGUUGGGGAUGGACUCGCGGCUUAUCAGCUUGUUGGUGGGGUAGUGGCUUACCAAGGCUUUGACGGGUAGCCGGCCUGAGAGGGUGACCGGCCACAUUGGGACUGAGAUACGGCCCAGACUCCUACGGGAGGCAGCAGUGGGGAAUAUUGCACAAUGGGCGGAAGCCUGAUGCAGCAACGCCGCGUGCGGGAUGACGGCCUUCGGGUUGUAAACCGCUUUCGCCUGUGACGAAGCGUGAGUGACGGUAAUGGGUAAAGAAGCACCGGCUAACUACGUGCCAGCAGCCGCGGUGAUACGUAGGGUGCGAGCGUUGUCCGGAUUUAUUGGGCGUAAAGGGCUCGUAGGUGGUUGAUCGCGUCGGAAGUGUAAUCUUGGGGCUUAACCCUGAGCGUGCUUUCGAUACGGGUUGACUUGAGGAAGGUAGGGGAGAAUGGAAUUCCUGGUGGAGCGGUGGAAUGCGCAGAUAUCAGGAGGAACACCAGUGGCGAAGGCGGUUCUCUGGGCCUUUCCUGACGCUGAGGAGCGAAAGCGUGGGGAGCGAACAGGCUUAGAUACCCUGGUAGUCCACGCUGUAAACGGUGGGUACUAGGUGUGGGGUCCAUUCCACGGGUUCCGUGCCGUAGCUAACGCUUUAAGUACCCCGCCUGGGGAGUACGGCCGCAAGGCUAAAACUCAAAGGAAUUGACGGGGCCCCGCACAAGCGGCGGAGCAUGCGGAUUAAUUCGAUGCAACGCGUAGAACCUUACCUGGGUUUGACAUGGAUCGGGAGUGCUCAGAGAUGGGUGUGCCUCUUUUGGGGUCGGUUCACAGGUGGUGCAUGCCUGUCGUCAGCUCGUGUCGUGAGAUGUUGGGUUAAGUCCCGCAACGAGCGCAACCCUUGUUCACUGUUGCCAGCACGUUAUGGUGGGGACUCAGUGGAGACCGCCGGGGUCAACUCGGAGGAAGGUGGGGAUGACGUCAAGUCCUCAUGCCCCUUAUGUCCAGGGCUUCACGCAUGCUACAAUGGCUGGUACAGAGAGUGGCGAGCCUGUGAGGGUGAGCGAAUCUCGGAAAGUCGGUCUCAGUUCGGAUUGGGGUCUGCAACUCGACCUCAUGAAGUCGGAGUCGCUAGUAAUCGCAAAUCAGCAACGCUGCGGUGAAUACGUUCCCGGGGCU
rnacentral:rRNA from 1 species